GACGAACCGUGCGAACGUUGUUCGGAUUCACUGGGCUUAAAGGGCGCGUAGGCGGCUUGCCAAGUCAGGGGUGAAAUCUUUCGGCUCAACCGGAAAGUGCUUCUGAUACUGGCGGGCUGGAGGAGGGUAGGGGCGGAUGGAACUUCCGGUGGAGCGGUGAAAUGCGUAGAUAUCGGAAGGAACGCCGGUGGCGAAAGCGAUCCGCUGGACCCUUUCUGACGCUGAGGCGCGAAAGCCAGGGGAGCAACGGG
rnacentral:rRNA from 1 species